ensembl:lncRNA
UAAUAAUAAGCCUGAUAACAGGGAAAAAUAGGUUCGCACAAAAGACAACCAAGCAGUUGUCAUACUGGAUGACAUUAUCCGUGUCCUGCACGAAGAUGUCAGCAACCCUACCACAGAGCAGUGCAUGGAUUCUUCAAAGCAAAGCACAAAGGCUUCACACAUGGACUCCGUAGGCCUGAAGGAGGCUGAAUUUGAGGUCCAAUGCAGGACUCAACAAGAGCAGAUAGAAAUGCUCCAACAACAGCUCCUAGAAGCUCAAAACCAACUCAAAGAAUAGGCGGUUAAACAUAGGCAAGACCAGGAGACACUGAACAUGGAAAUUAGUGAGCUUAAAUCCCAGGUCUGCUGCAACAAGGCCCUUCAUGACAUGAAGGUAGAGACUCUUGGUCGAGAGCUGAAAGCAGCCAAAGCGUCCUACCUUAAAAUCACACAAGAGCAACAUGAACAAAAUUCCACCAUUGCAAAUGAAAAAUCUGAGCCUCUGGUGGAAAAAGACGCUGGAGAACAGGACAAAGAAGAAGAGGACUCCCUGCUAAAGACUGCAGUGUCUGUACAUAACUCUUUACAACAAACAGAAGACAGACAGAAAAUGACUACUAGCAAGCCAGCUGAAGUCAAAACUGAAGCUAAGACUGUGCAAGAGAAAAAAACAAAGAAGAAGAGGAAGUGGGGCUGCUUGGGCUUUUUAGCUGUGCCAGUCCCAGAUAGACAGAUUAGACAAUUGUGGGGGGAACAAAUAAAAAAAAAAAGGGAAAAAAUAGAUUUCAUAUAGAUUUCUAAUAACAUACCAUUUGAUGUCAACAUAUUUUUGUUACAUUUGCAGUGCUAGUGGUGUUAUAUUCUUAUAAUUCUGUUCAUCUUAUAUCAUCUUAUAUCCUUCUGCCUUGCUUCACAUAUUUACUGCUGCUUGGCUAGCUUUACUCAUGCUUGCAUCAGCAAAGGUAGAAACAGCCAUGCAUCGGCCAGUCUAAAUACAAAACAUUAGCUAAGUUAUUGGCUAAUGAGUGAGAUGCUAAACUGAGGGGUAAAAGUAGAACAUGUAAUUUAAAAAAAAAAAUGGUUGUAGCCACCAGACGCUAACAGUCCUUCUAGUAAAGACCAAACCAAACAAAAAAGCCUUUGACUGUUUUGAGAGGAACAUCGCUUUUUAGUAAUGGGAUGCAGAGUCAUGAUGCACUUCACUCAGCUUUAUCACUCUCUGUGUUUAUGCACCACUGUGCAUUAGUUAAUAAUAACUUAUGAUUAAAUUAGUUAAUAUUAAUCUCU